CGUUUCAUUCUCUUCUUUGGGUUUCCAUUGAAUCUCUCGUCCUUUGGUUCAAUCUCGUUGAGCAAAUCGCCAUGGAAUCCACCGUGGAGACCUCGCCGGAUCUGGAGAAGAAGACCUUCUUCUUGGAUGCUGAAGCCUCGCCGAGGAAUUCAAGCGCAAACUCCAGAAAGAUUUUUGUCUUGCAGAAUGUUGGUUCAAGAGAGUCUGGGAAUUCAAUGCUGAAUUCUGUGAACAAACAAACUCCACAAAUUAAGAAACCCCAUCGUAGAAAUGGUUCCCCUCUCUAUUGGUUUCCUAGGAAGAAGACAGACUCAUUUUUGAAGAGAAAAUUGAGACGUCUGCAGGAAGCUGGGGGAAUGAGCUCAACUCUGGAGGAAUUCCUAGAUAGUGCCAACCCUCAUUACUCGAGGAUGAUGAGGGAAAAGAUUGCCGCCAGAGAGGCAGCAAAUAAGGCCAUGGAAGCUCGUAAAGCUGCAAUGAUUGAAGGUUCUUGGUGUCGAAUACUGCGAGCAGCCAGGAUUCAAAGCAAAGAAGCAGAAACUAAAUUGGCUGAGGCAGAGAAACAUGUGGCAGAAGCUUUUGAAGCAGCAAAAGCAAUGGGAGUAAUGAUGUAUGAUAGGCCUGAUUGUCCAAGGGGGCCAUGCAAAAUUCAGACAUCCUCAGCCAUUGGGGGAAGAUCCACUCAUACAGUCACUGCCUCUUUUGAGACGGCAUUUGAAGUAGACAAGGAAGUUGCUGCAGCAGUGAAAAAAGCAUUUGUUCGACUAGCCAGUUGUCCCUCCUCUUCAAAUAAAGAGGAGUUCAGAAAUCUGCUUCUUAAGAUUAGCCAGAAUCCAGAUUCUAUUGAGGCUGAUCAAGAAAUCUCAGAGGUGACUUCAGAGUGUGAAUUUGAUCCUGGGUCAGAACUAGAGGUGGAUGUGCAAAAUGCUGGAGGCCUUGCUGUUGGUGAUGUAUGUAGGAAAUCAGAUAUUCAAACUAAAGAAAGAAGAUGUAUAAACGAGCAUCCUCCAACUGAUCAUGAUGAAAUUCACUCUAGUUCAUCCCAAGAUCUCGUUAGUGAAAUGCUGGACAGGCUUAGAUGUUUACAGGAAGAUCAACUUGCUUCUCUUGCAGUUAUCGUUGCCACUUGUGGCUUGAAUGCUGCUCUCCUUGAAGCAGAUAGUGGCAAAGAUCAUGGAAUAGAGGCUGUAACUGAGAGCAUUUCAGCUUCAGUGAUUCCUCGCCCCAAAAAUAUGGCUUUACUUGGGACUAAUGGAAGGCGAUAUUCCAGUGUAACUAAGUUCAUUGGUGGUGAUACAAGGAAAGAAGCUGAAGCAGAAUUGCCAAGCUUAGACAAGUUUUUGGUCAAGCAUGUAUCUAAAUUUGAAAGAGAAGUCCAAGAAGCGAGAAAGAAAGAGGAUCAUAGAGCUUCAGGAGCAUCUGUGUUGCAGGUUGUUAAGGAACGGGAGAAAGUUCACACAUCUGGCAAGAUUACAUCAUCAGAUUCCAUGUCUGAUCUUGGAAGUAUUCUUGUAAAACAUGUCUCCAGACUAGAAAGAGAAAUCCAGAAAGCCAAGUCUCAGAAUAAUAGUCAAAUGAUUGCAAAAGGAAAGGAUGCAGAAGGUGCAAGUGUUAAGGAUGUUAUGGUUGCACCCGCACCUGAAGGCAACAGAGACUCUGGAGGAGUCCUUGUAGAGCACUCCUUAAAUGGGGAAUUGGACACUGAAAGGGGAGGGUGCAAACAGUCAAGAAAUUCAGAAAGAUUGACUGAAAAAUCAGAACAGCAUGACUUGUUUCACGAAGCACAAGUAGACAAGGAAAACAUGGACUGUAAUAUUGAAGAGACGCAGAUGUCACGAAUUCAAGGAGCUAAGGUGGAGGCACAAAGAACAUUAAAAGCUCGAGAUGAGCUAACUGGGCUUGAAAAGAUCUUAGUAAAGCCUGUUCAUAGGUUGGAGAAAGAUAAAAUGCAAGCCUUGGAAAAAGGAAGUCAUUAUAUCAUUAAGAAAGAGAACAGGAAGCAUGGGCAUGGUGUUGCAGCUUCAGAGAGUUUAGAUAAGAUCUUAGUAAAACAUGUAUCCAGACUUGAGAAGGAGAAACUGGCCCAUUGCAAGAGUGAGGAUUCGGUGACUGUGAAGAAAAGAGAUCAGUUUGCUGACAGGAAUACAGAGAGUUUAGAUGAAAUUUUGGUCAAACAUCAAUCUAAACUAGAGAAGGCCAAGAUUGCAGUAUCUCAACAAUCAGCAGAUGACCGCAUUAAGACUGUGGAUUCUCGUAAGCAAGCUCGGGAAAAGGAAUUACUAGAAGCUUGGGGAGGAUUGAGUUUAGGAAAUUCUAUCAGACCUCAUCUUUCAAGACUUGAGCGAGAUAAGGCUGCUUGGAGGAAGGCAGAGGAGGAAGAACGAAGACAAAACACCACAAUGCAGCUCUGAAUCCAUUGACAUUCUCCACUGAACAAAAUUUUUAUUUGGCCACUUGAUCUGUUGAAACCAAAGAGUCUAGCAAAAACAAAAGCAAAUGGCCACUUGAUCUGGAAACCAAGGUUACAAGCUGACUACUUUUCCAGGGGUGUAUAACCAAAAAUUCGAAAAGCAAUCUUGGGCUUAAGAGAAAUUUUUAGUUUCAAUUGGGUUAAACUGUAAAAAGCCAU